GAGCUCCCUUGUUGUUGCAUGGGAUGACAAUGUUCACAUAGCGCAGAGGAGAAUCUGUGUUACACAGCGCAAUGAGGUACUGUUCCAACUGGAAGUCAAGAGUGGUGCCACCUAAGUGGGUUCCUGCUGCAAGGAACUUAAGGACAUCCUCCUCCUUCAUUUGCAGGACAUCAAGGGCUCCGGACAUUGUGAAAGUUUCCCUUUAAGUUAUGAUGGGAAUCCAGAACAACGCCGUAUGGACCCCUCUGCAGCAGGAGACCUUAUCAAAAUUCUCCUAGAUUACAUGACAGCAGCCCUGGGAACAGAAGUUACAUUCUGAGGUACUGGGAGUUGGAAUUUCAACAUAUGAAUUUUCGGGGGAUGCAACAAAAUACUCCCUGGUGCUUAGAGGGUCCUGUGCUUAUCAAGCAUCUGUUUAGAAAGCCCUUUCACAUGCAUGAUCUCAUUUGAUCCUUAGAACAGAACUGUUAAACAGGAAGAGAUCAAGCCAGAAGUGUUUGACUCUUCAACAAUAAUCUGGUGCCCAAACACGUGGGGCCACAGAGAAGACUCAGGACCCUGAAGGAGUUGCCUGAAACCCUAGCUAAGGUACUAGCAGGGGCCCACUGAAGCCUCACCAAGUUCUAGCUUCUCCUCUGGUGAAACUGAUUGUGAAAACAGAAAAGGAGAAUGGCUAUGCCCUCAAACUACUUGGAACCCUGAUUUUUCUCAAACUUGGCCUCUAAUAUCCACCCCAACGGGACAUAACAUCUGGGUCUCGCUAUGUUGUGCAAGCUGGCCUCAAACUCCUGACCUCAAGCAAUCCUCUUUCCUUGGCCUCUCAAAGUACUGAGAUUACAAGCGUGAGCAACUGCACCCAGCCAAAUAUAUUUCUGAUUUACUUUUUGUUGGGAAAAAAUCACUAGUAAGUGGACCUGUGCGGUUCAAACCCAUGUUGUUCAAGGGUCAGAUGUAUAGUGCUUUCCUGAGUUCUGUGAGUUGUUCUAAUUAUAGAGCCUGAAGGAGGCUUAAGGGAUCCCUCCAAUUUAUAGCCAGUAGGUCAGAAAUGAAGAUGGCCUGGGACCCCCAACCCCAACUUGCAACAGGCAUCUGAAGUGAGGGCAGUCUUUUUGGGAACUGUGCCUCUAACUUGUGGGGUCUAUGCUAACUUUUGAGUGGUUAGCAUCAGAAUUGAAAUAUUGCAGUAUAUUCUAAGUCUCUAAGUUGAAGAUUGACUGCUAUUAACACAUUUUGAUAGAUCUAAAUUGUUGAUGCCAGAAAGAUUUUCAAUCUCAAGAAUAAUCGAGAGCCAACAAUUUAGCUUAUAGUCUGAAUUCAACAGCUUGUAUCUCAGCCACAAGUGAUAAUUUUAGGAAAAGAAGUGCCAAAUGUUACACUGAGAAGACAAAAGUCAACUUGGAAAUGAUCUCUCUCUUCAAGCAAAAUAAAAAACUAACAUGUAGUCUCCCUUGAAAACUUCUUGUUAUAAGCCUGCCAGCCAAGAAAUACAACCAGUGAGGGUUUGUCCUUCAGGCCCCAGAAAUACGUAUUGUUACGUAUUUUUGGUCAAUUUUAAGUCCUUGCCCUACCCACCACCCACAUCAAUUCUGUCCCCUUUAAUUAAUAUCCCACCUGAGUUGCUACUCCUAAUACUAUCUGAGCUCUAAUUAUUUUAAGUCAAAUAAAGUGCCUGGCCCUAAUGAAUGAAAA
rnacentral:antisense_RNA from 1 species